UCUGCUGGACGGUCUGCCAGAUUGCUGCAGAGGCCAGCCGUAGUGGUGGCACCAGGAGACGCAGAGCGGAGAGAGAAAAAGGCGCACCUGAAGAACGUUCCUGAGAAAUAUCUUCCAUAUCGCAGUUGAUCUAACACUUAGUUUAACGAAAACCAGACAUAACUGAAUAAAAAGGGUUCUCGGUUACUUCCUUUUAGCAUGUAUAAAGGCUUUGUCCGACGUCUUUUCUGUUCCGGCGUUGCAUCGUUCGUGGUAGCAGUGUUCCGAGUUUACAGGUGUCAGAUAUU